GCAGAAAGAGCAUUUUGCUACCUUUGUCUGGCGGCGAAUUCCCCUGUGCGGAGGAGCGUUCAGUUCAAAUCUCUAUGCAGUUUGUCAUACGCACGCGAAUUAGCGUGAACUGGCUAAUUCACCGGGAGGCACCCGGCGUCGCAGAUAAAUAUACAGGCAUUCCUUGAGUCAAUUAUUUUUCCAGCGCUUUGGCGCUGGUUUUUUUUAACC
rnacentral:sRNA from 1 species